ACACGCGCAUAGUGCCCUUCUUCUCACCCUGUCGGCUCGCGUUUCUUCUUCCAGCAGCUAGGGCGUGACAACUCUCCUCACCAGCGCAUCUUCUUCCUUCCUCACAACCGGCCGGCGGCUUCUUCAUCUUCCCUUUCCUCGUCGCCGGCCGGACCUCCACAGCCCACUUCCUCUUCUAGAUUUCCAGUGGCGACGGCAUAGGCGAACACAGCAGGGAGCAGCAGGCGACCGCGGCGAUUCCGACCAACUCCACCUCACCGGAGGGGUUCUCCGGUGAGAUCCUUCACCUCCUGACGUUCUUCCUUCACUCUUACCUUCUGGGGUUCAGUUGGCAGCAAGAAGAAGGCGGCACGGUAAGAUCUCCAUGACAGUCCGGUCAACUUCCAUCUGAGGGGGGUUCCUCGGUGGAAGAUUCGCAUCAUCUUCAUUGUCUAAGCAAGCAGCAACCGGCAGUGAGCUUCUGUCCACCGACUUUGGGGGUUCCGAGCCGGGUCUUCAUGUGACGACGAGGGUAGUAGUUGGAAUCGGAAGCGGAAGUGUGAAUUAUGAACCCUCCCAAGCUGGCUACUCCUCUAUUUGAUACUAAAAUGCCAGAGGACCCUAAGAUGGCAUACACACAGACCUAGAUAAUCUUCAAAUGGUGUUUUGAACGAAGAGUAGUGUUUGGUCUUGCGUUGUGAUGACGUCUGAGUGUUGGCUUGGUCUCUGUUGGCUUGCUACAUAUCUAGAAAGCUCCAUGAUUUGUGCUAAGCUGAAGCGUAUCCAAUUUGGAUUUUCCAGCUCAAAAUAUCAGUAGAUUUGUUGUGGUAGUGCCUUAACAGGAUUUGAGGCUUCUCCAUUCAGGAAAAGACAAGUUCGGUAGAUACAAAAAUUAUAAGAUCACAAGUUUGGAUUGAAGGUCACAAGAAAAAAAAUGGGAAGCCUAGUACUCAAGCUGUUGGAGAGAAAAUAGUGGACCUAAUUCGACCAAAUGAUGAAAUGCAGUUUCUUGAUGAUGCAAUAGAAAGAACGGUCACAUGGUUAUCUAUAUUUAUAAUAUUGUGUGAUUGAUAUAUAUUAUACUAAUUUGUUUGGAUUGUAAGUUGAAUUGUUGUUAUGUAAUUGUUAGUUUGUUAGAUAUUUCGUAUAUUGUUUUAGAUGUUUUGAGUUUUUGUGGUAUAAUGAAAAACUAUGACUUUUAUUAA